AUGGAGGCGCGUGUCAUUAUCAGCAUUUGGCUGUUUAUUCACCUAGGUGUGGUGCUGGGUGACUCGGUCCAGUCUAAGGAACCCCAAAUGUCUGGAAUAGAAGGAGACUCUGUGACCCUCAAUUGCUCCUACACUACCAGCUAUACCGGUUCCCUCUCUCUCUACUGGUACCGCCAGUAUCCCAACCAAGCCCCGCAGUACAUUCUGCAGAGAGGCGCCAAGGGAAACACGUAUGAUCAUACUGCAGAUUUCGCACAGAAGAGAUUUUCUUCCCAGGCUGAUGACAGCUCCACAGUUCUGAACAUCACAGUCCUGGAGCUGGCGGACACAGCGGUGUAUCACUGCGCUCUGGAUGUGACACAGUGA